GUUACAGUCCAUGGAGGACUUUUCAAGGUUUUUCUUGACCCAAAGGGAGGCAGUAAACCUGUGUUUUGUGAAGCUCCUGCAGAGCUCUUCUCAGACAACACAAUCUGGGCUCAGCCUUAGGGUAACUACGCUGAAUGACGCUACCCACUUGCACAAUGCAAGUGCUAACAGAGGCUGUUCUGCAUGGCAGACCACACAGGGAAGCAUAAGUAGUGUCAACAGUUUUUCUGUUUUUCAAAAGGGAGAAGCAAUUCCGAGAAGGCUGUCACAAUCUCCUAAUGCAACGGACUCCCUGAGUGAAACAGUGAAAAGAGAACAUAAGCAGGGGAAGUGGGAGAGGGAGAAGCAAGCUCCCCACGGAGCAGGACCUGAUCCCAGGACCCGAUCCCAGGAGCCCAGGAUCAUGACCCAGGCUGGAGGCGGACACUUGACUACUGAGCCACCCAAGUGUCCCUACUGUGAGCUUUCUGUCUCUCGAAGCUGACUCUUACCUGAUCCAGGUAGAAAUAAAUAAGACCAUCUUGAUAAAGAACUAAAAUUUUGAUUAAUCUUUGCACUCUUCUUUUAAUAUUUUACAUUGACCU
rnacentral:lncRNA from 1 species